AAAUGAUUCUUAUCUCUUUUUGGAGAGAUGGCCGAGAGGAUUAAAGCGUCGGAUUGCUA
rnacentral:tRNA from 1 species